rnacentral:rRNA from 1 species
UAGGGAAUCUUCCGCAAUGGACGCAAGUCUGACGGAGCAACGCCGCGUGAGUGAAGAAGGAUUUCGGUUCGUAAAACUCUGUUGUUAGAGAAGAACAGCGCAUAGAGUAACUGUUAUGCGUGUGACGGUAUCUAACCAGAAAGCCACGGCUAACUACGUGCCAGCAGCCGCGGUAAUACGUAGGUGGCAAGCGUUGUCCGGAUUUAUUGGGCGUGAAGCGAGCGCAGGCGGUCAAUUAAGUCUGAUGUGAAAGCCCCCGGCUCAACCGGGGAGGGUCAUUGGAAACUGGUUGACUUGAGUGCAGAAGAGGAGAGUGGAAUUCCAUGUGUAGCGGUGAAAUGCGUAGAUAUAAGGAGGAACACCAGUGGCGAAGGCGACUCUCUGGUCUGUAACUGACGCUGAGGCUCGAAAGCGUGGGUAGCAAACAGG